rnacentral:tRNA from 1 species
UGGCUCAGUGGUAGAGAAUCUGCCUGUGAAGCAAGAGACCCAGGUUUGAUCCCUGG